rnacentral:rRNA from 1 species
CACGUAGGGGCCAAGCGUUGUCCGGAUUUAUUGGGCGUAAAGAGCUCGUAGGCGGCCAACUAAGUCAGACGUGAAAUCCCUCGGCUUAACCGGGGAACUGCGUCUGAUACUGGAUGGCUUGAGUUUGGGAGAGGGAUGCGGAAUUCCAGGUGUAGCGGUGAAAUGCGUAGAUAUCUGGAGGAACACCGGUGGCGAAGGCGGGUCUCUGGGCCGAUGACUGACGCUGAGGAGCGAAAGCAUGGGUAGCGAACAGG